AUGGAUGCUGAGGUCUGAACUGACCAAUCAGAUGACAGCCCGAAAUGAGUGGGCAUCUUUUGGGUUCUGAUCAGGCCUUCCUCGCCUGCGCCUGCGCACCGAACUGGGUUGUGUUCUCAGCUUUGACCUGCUCUCCUACAUCCAUGCGUGUGGCAAGUCUUUGCUUCAGCCUCUGUCGCCUUGUGACCUGCAGGUCGUGGGAGUCUGUGGGGAGGACGCCUGGACACCCAGAAGCCGGGAGAUGAGACGCGGUCUCACCAAGUUGUCUGCGCUGGUCUGGAACCCACAGGAGCAGGCAAUUUACUCCCGUCGAACUCCGAAAGUGCUGGGAUUACAGGCUGAGCCACCGAUCCCGGCCCCAUUACUUUUUGUUGGAAGAGUGAAGAAUUCUGUUAUCUGGAUUAGGGUUUUAUGGUAAAUUUUAUGAGAAAAGCUUGGCAACUACAAGAAGUAUUCACACAUGGUUGUUUACAAAAUGACUUGUUAUCAUGGAAGAGAUAUUUACAUGUUUAUUUUCUGAAAGAAAUACACAUUUUUCUGAUGUUGUUAAGGUUAGUAAGGUAUCUUACAAGUGUUUGCCCUUCAUAAGCAUGAACACUGAGUUAAAGAGAUUUUGCACUGAGUGUUUUCUCAUUUGUAUCUAACUGAGCAAAAUUAACCAGGUCUGAUGAUUCCAAGUCACAGUCAGUCAUGAUCCUGCAAAAGAAAGUCUUUAAGGCCCAGUAAGUUCUUCCAGGGGAGACUCUUCUACAUGUGUGCCCAUGUUUACAGCAGUCAUGGAAGGAGCCCGUGAUAGUGAGAGAAGCUGCUGAACUCUGGAAAGCUGUGGGUUUGCAGGGAGAUGUGUCCAGGGUUGGGACAGAAAUAAAGGAUGUGAUACUGUUUCA